UACGGAGGGGGCAAGCGUUGUUCGGAAUUAUUGGGCGUAAAGCGUAUGUAGGCGGCUAAGUAAGUCAGGCGUGCAAGCCCGUGGCUCAACCACGGAAUUGCGUUUGAUACUGUUUAGCUUGAGUACAGGAGAGGAAAGCGGAAUUCCCAGUGUAGCGGUGAAAUGCAUUGAUAUUGGGAGGAACAUCUGUGGCGAAGGCGGCUUUCUGGUCUGUUACUGACGCUGAGAUACGAAAGCCAGGGUAGCGAACGGG
rnacentral:rRNA from 1 species